CUACGGGUUGCUCCAGUCGAGAAUCUUCCGCAAUGGACGAAAGUCUGACGGAGCGACGCCGCGUGCGGGAUGAAGGCCUUCGGGUUGUAAACCGCUGUCAGUGGGGAGGAAAUGCAUCAGGGUUCUCCCUGGUGUUUGACCGAUCCGCAGAGGAAGCGCAGGCUAAGUUCGUGCCAGCAGCCGCGGUAACACGAACUGCGCGAACGUUAUUCGGAAUCACUGGGCUUAAAGAGUUCGUAGGCGGCCUUUCAAGUCGGGUGUGAAAUCCCUCGGCUCAACCGAGGAAUUGCGCCUGAUGACUGUUGGGCUUGAGGGGGAUAGGGGUGAGCGGAACUGAUGGUGGAGCGGUGAAAUGCGUUGAUAUCAUCAGGAACACCGGUGGCGAAGGCGGCUCACUGGAUCUCUUCUGACGCUGAGGAACGAAAGCUAGGGGAGCGAACGGGAUUAGAUACCCGAGUAGUC
rnacentral:rRNA from 1 species